rnacentral:lncRNA from 1 species
UAAAUAAAGCCUGGCCCCCAGGCUGAGGAUGCGGCGCGACGUCUCGUUUCAUGCACCCAACAGCUCGAGGAGUGUUUAGCGGGGCAGUGGUGACACGUGGGACCUGAACAGAAUCUCAGCAAAGGUAUUGCCGCCGCUUGCCACAUGUGGAGAGCAUAUAAAAGGAGUAAACAGUGAGCGAUCAAAACAAAUACAGCGAGGCACGCUGGGAGGGCUCGCUGUUUCAACAAAGAUGACUGACGAAAACCCACCUGCUCAUCGGUCUUCGGCACAAUGCCAGUGAUAACGUAAUUACUGUGUGAAUAAGUUCCAUGCCAUGCCCCAUGGGUGGAGCAGACCGCAAAUUAUGGCGUAAUGAACUAUUUUCUUGGACAUUACUUGCCAUCGUGUGGUUCCAACAUGGGGUUCUUUUCCAAGAUAAAGAAAAGUCUCUGGUCUCUCUUCGUGCAUUCUAUAUAUCACCUUUUGGGGGCCACUUUGACUUGGGUAGAGGUAGAUGGUAGUUGGUACAUUGUAUUACACUUAUCCCACAUCAGGAACCAGCCAACACGCGUGGCCCGUGCUUUCGUGGUGGAACAUUUCUUGCCUUUUCAUUUGUUUGUGUAGCUCUGAUAUAAAAAAAAAAAGUCAGGACCUCUCUACAUGCCAGCAAACGGCAUAUGCAGCCAAUGGCAAUUAAUUCUACAAAUCACUAAGUAUUAAAGAAACCCGUAUCUUUGGCUUGAAGCAUGAUCGAUCGAUGGGCGUCUACCGUACCUAUUACGCAACAUAUUCAACGUGGCACGAUCGACCAAUCGGCAUUUUUGGCCUCUUUUCUAAUUGGCUUUUUUGAAUUGGCACGUGGAGCCGCCUAAACUGUGCUAGCAAGGAAGGGGUCCACAAGCUGAGUGCAUAAUUUAUAUUAGUCCAUGUGCCCGGCUUCUACUCUUAAACGGAGGUGUAGAAAAUCUGAUGACGUCUGAGAUGUGUGUACAUUCACUGGCUCCGUUCUUUCAAGCGACAAAUCUUGCACGCGUUUGUAUACCGGGUGCAGCGGCCGAGAUGCCCGUUGAGAUUACUGCACCUCAUAAAUAUUGAUCAAAUCGGACACGUCAUUGGCCAAUUCCAUCUCGCAUCAGAGAAGUAGAAAUGGGUGCGUUUCAAUUAGCUUACAUGUGUAAGUCAAACUUACACGAGAGCGUUCGUUUAGCCACCACGUGAUCUUCGUGUCUGCCCUGGUGUAAGCCACCACUACCCCAGCUGGCGAGCGGGUCUCUGGAGGAUCCCCGAGUGUAAUGACGUCACGGGUGGACUGUUCGAGCACGGGCAUGAUGGAACCUGGCGGGGACUUGAACUUUUUCCCAGAAUGCCUCGGCGAAUACACUACACCGUUCGAUCAGCCUCAUUUUGUGGCUUCCCUUGCGUGUAACACUGGUGUAUGCAGGUGACGUCUUACGGGGUGACCUUAUAUUCUGAUCAAUCGCUUCUUCCAUGUUACUACAGCAGAGUCGUGACUGGAUUGAUUCUCUUUUCCCUUCAGAGGAGUAAAGUCCUCCCACAGUUUGCCCACCUUAAUCGUGAAAAUGUGAGAAACAGCCCGCCUUCCGGAAGAAUUCAACUCUGUUUAUAAUGCCAUAGUCCCAUGGAAUGAAGAAAAACUCAGUGGGAGCCCGCACCUGCUAGAUAAGACCCUCAAUGACAGCGCGUGUUGACGUGGGCUGAGGAAGACGAAUGACAACAGUGCCCCCUCUUGACCCUGAGGCCUAGAUGCUUCUCUUAGAGCCCGUCUGCGCAGGAAUGCGUGGGUUCAAAGGUCAAGCAGUACUGCGCCGACUCUGUCCACAAUCUGAACGAUGCCGACUGGAUUGGCCACCAGGAAGGGGGAGAUGGUAUCAAACAAAUGACACUGCUCCUGCUAAAUUUAGGAAAAAUUCUUGACAUCUCUUCGGGUUACUCUCAGUGGAAAGUUCACCUUUGUAAACCUUUAGAAAUAUCUAUGGUUUCCCUGACUAUAAAAGGGCGCUGUUGCCGUGAAUGUUAUUACGGGAAGACACUCUUCCUUGGGGGCGGGGGUCUGUUCAAAUAUAUGAAUCCGGAACUUAUUAAUUAACUGGAAAUGGUUUUGAAAAAGCUUUGCUCCUGACCUCAUGUCAUGAACACACAAAACUGACAUGUUCAGUGAGACAAGAACUACAUGUACAUGUAUUUACAAGAACUGCAUUUAACAAUUACGCUGCCUUGUCCCUAUAAGUUUUGCUGAAGUGUCUCGAAGUUUUGCUGUUAUUUGACCAGUGGCGUAUCCAGCCAAAGAAAACUUCAAAGAGAAAGAAACAACGAAACGGUGAUUUGCAGACGAGCUUACUCUCCGUGGCAGCAGGGUCUUUCUUUUCCUCAAUCAGCACAUUCAUUCCGAGAACAAGGCAGUGUGUUUCCCUUCAUCCCUAUAGCAACCUCGCCCCCAUGGAAGGAGCAAAGGCACCUACCACAGACGACAGAGUUGAACAAAAGAAUAACCACGGGUAAAAGGACAGGAAAACCAUUUUGUUCCUUUUGUGCGUCAGUCCCUUUUUGUGGUAAAGUAAAGCAUGUACACCAUAAACACACAGUUACGCCCUAGUAUUUACAAACGAGAAAAUUACAACGGCAAAAAACCGUGAAAUACCCUGUUUUUUUAAUAUUGUCAGACAUAAUUCGCCUCAAAAAUGCGUAUUUACAUGCAACAGGUCUAACACGCUUGAGAUUUUAUGUUGGAAGGUUUGUUAUGAAAAAAGAGGGACACUUUUACUUAAAAUCUUGUGAUUUUUAAAAGUCAGGAUUUCUUCGGAGAUAAAUGCAGGUUUCUUUUUUACGUGUACAGGACGUCCCGGCUAUUUCAAAUGGUUCUGAAUUUAAUGCAUCAACUCAAAAUAUUCAAAUUCAUUCAGGGCAAAUCCGCAGUGUGUUAGAAAAAGCGAUUUGUUUCAAAGUAUGGUCCGCACAUUAACACAUAAAGUCGAGAAACCUCAUCAUUACAAAUCAAAUUUGUCGAAGCUUUUGAUAAAUGGAAGCGUCAAAGAGUGGAUUUGUCUUGUAUCAAUUAUUUUGAUAUACAUUUCAGGGUAAACUAUACUCUUGUGCGUGCUAAAGAAUUUCCUUGGGUCCCCACAAACCAUUUGGCACAAUAGAUUGACAACAAAAUAGCAAAAAUAUAAACAAUCCCCUCAAAACAAGUCUUUUUAAUUUAAAACAAAUGAAGAGUGCAUAAAUAAAUAAAUAAAUA